rnacentral:rRNA from 1 species
ACGGGAGGCAGCAGUAGGGAAUCUUCCACAAUGGGCGAAAGCCUGAUGGAGCAACGCCGCGUGAGUGAAGAAGGAUUUCGGUUCGUAAAACUCUGUUGUAAGGGAAGAACAAGUACAGUAGUAACUGGCUGUACCUUGACGGUACCUUAUUAGAAAGCCACGGCUAACUACGUGCCAGCAGCCGCGGUAAUACGUAGGUGGCAAGCGUUGUCCGGAAUUAUUGGGCGUAAAGCGCGCGCAGGUGGUUUCUUAAGUCUGAUGUGAAAGCCCACGGCUCAACCGUGGAGGGUCAUUGGAAACUGGGAGACUUGAGUGCAGAAGAGGAUAGUGGAAUUCCAAGUGUAGCGGUGAAAUGCGUAGAGAUUUGGAGGAACACCAGUGGCGAAGGCGACUAUCUGGUCUGUAACUGACACUGAGGCGCGAAAGCGUGGGGAGCAAACAGGAUUAGAUACCCUGGUAGUCCACGCCGUAAACGAUGAGUGCUAAGUGUUAGGGGGUUUCCGCCCCUUAGUGCUGCAGCUAACGCAUUAAGCACUCCGCCUGGGGAGUACGGUCGCAAGACUGAAACUCAAAGGAAUUGAC